AAUCGGUGUUGCGGACACUUCUGUAAAACAUCCUUGAAUCCCUCCUAUGUCUCAAAUAAUGAUUCGAGCUAAAUCUGUAUGAAUGAGGAUAUAUCAUUUCAAAACCU